rnacentral:misc_RNA from 1 species
CAUUCAGUAGCCUCGCUACUUGUUUAUACCCUUGUUUUUUGCGUACUAUUGUUUCCUCGGCGGGCUUGCCUGCCGGUUGGACAAAACUAUAACCUUUUUAAAUCUUCAAUCAGCGUCUGAAUUAUACAUAAUAAUUA